CCUUUCAGGGUCAAAGAGAAAACUACAUCUCCCAAGGGAUUGGGCCGGUGUGUUUCCUGCUGCAGGAAGAGGGCUUCGAGCUCGUGGUCCUCGAGGGCCUAAAAGGCACCAGGCACCGAAUUGCUGAAAGAACUAUGCAAGCGCUUAGGGAGCAAUGCGGCCACCUGUGUUCCCUGCUGUUGCAAUCGGAACACUGUAGGGCUGGGGGUGCAGAUCAGGACACGUGCUACACAGCACAGGAAAGGUUCCCCCGUAACGAAAAACUCUAAAGCUGUCUGAGUGCACGAAGCUAAUCAUCAACGAGAACAUCGGUUCCAAAUUAUGACCUUUGAAGAUUCUGAAUAUUGUCGAAUGGGGAUGAGUGGCAGUCUUUUUACCCAGUCAUGGCAUGGUGGUGCAGAAGUGGGACUGUCUCACAAUCUGAUGUAAAAAAAGAAGUCAGCCAUGGACACAGGAAGAAAGGAAAGAACUUCAGUGGGAGUUUACCCGAGUGAGGAAUCGAGCCUGGACUCUGUGCAUGCAGUUUCUGUACUAGUUUAAUGAAGUAUGGGAAUUGAUAGAAUGUGUUAGAAACUUCAGACGUCUUACUUCCUCUGCCUGCCCCAUCCAGGUCUCAUCCUACCUUUUCCAAGUCAUUAUCCAAGAAUGUCAGAGAAAGCCCAAGCAUCCCUUUUGCUCCCACUUUUGCUUUGGGGGAGGUGGAUGGAGGGGAAACAGGAACACUGCACAAGAUUCACACAUUCCCCUUGGAUGAGUCUGAACUAAUUUAUUCAUUGACUCUGUGAUCAGUUAGAAAUCAACAGCUCCAUGCUAUGGUGUGAAACUGAUGAUCACUUUUCUAUUCUUCAUACAACUGGAAAAUUUGAUUUGGCCAACCUCACAUUACAGAGAUGCAUGCUCGCCAUGGGCUGAGUGGAAUACUAGGCAGUCAUGACAGUACCAGCCAUCAUCUCCAGAGACCUUUAAUUCCUGACAAAUCUUUUCUUCUUGAAAGUAACUGUGGGUGGUCUCCCUUUUUUCUAAUUUCAGCAAAUUUGGUACAUCACUUUCUAGUUAUGCAGCUGAUGCUCAUGUUUGUAUGAAUAGCUAUUAAAAAAAGGAAGAUCAGAUGUUUGUUGUUUCAUUUCCAACAUAAAUCAAACUUUGUAUUCACAUUUCAAUUCUAGUUUAGCCACAGGAAUAGCUUUAGUAUUGCUAAGUGUCUGGAGACUAUUGACUACAGAGACAUGUUUUUAAGCAGGCUAUAAUAGUUUCUACAGCUGUUAACAGUUCAUAGAAGAAUGGAAGCAUUAUUCAUCAGUGUUUAAAAUGUGCAUGACUUGCAUUGCACAGAAGUCAGUUUGGAGAAUGUCAGAAUUUUUUUCUGAAACUCUGCCAGGAAAGUCUUCAAUAACUAGAGAAAUUCUUUUCACUGGUGAAAUCAACAUGCAGCACAUCGUGUUAUUAUAAUUGCUUAGAGCUCACUAUGAAAGUUGUCUUUGUAUGUGUGGAUGUACAGCUAGUACUGUUUUGUUUUUAUUUAUUCUGCAUUCUUUAUUUUAAUGUUCUUUCCUUUUUUCCAGACCAGAAAGAUUGUUAUUGAGCUCUUCACAGAGCUGAAAUAAUGCUGUGUGUUAAAAAAUGUUAACAAUUUGAAGAAGUUAUAAAAAUUUAUAAGUUGGCUGAGUACUUAGGAAAUUUCUGCAUAUUUUAAUAUAAAUAGGUAAUGCAAAUGUUUGUUCUUUGCAUUUAGAGGUGGGUCUCGGUUUUCUAAAAGGUUUCAUAUUUAAAUUUGAUUCUUUGGAUUGUAUUAAACUCAAACCAGUAUUUUUACAUGUUGCAUAACUGAAAAACAUGUAAUCACAAACGAUAGAGUGCUUACAUAGUUAAUAGUGAAUGCAAUACAGUCACAAAGUUUAACAUUAAAAUGUAGACUGUGAAUAGUAUCAGUUAAUGAAAUGAACAAUUUCAUUAACAAAUUUAGCACCUAAAUCAGUACCCAUUGAAGUCAAUGCGAGUCUUUCCAUUGACUUCACUGGAUUUUGGGUUGGGCUCACAGAGAAUAAGGCAAGCUGUAUUGCAACUGGAUGCUUAUUAUAAAAUAAUUUUCUCUUUUAUUUCAAUAUUAAAUGUCAAAGGCUGUUGUCAGAUACACCGGUGUAAACCCAGAAUAACUCACUGAAAUCAGGGGAGUUACUCCAGUAUUAUUUUGGUGAUCACUGUGCCCCCAAAGUUUAUUAAUAAUUUAAAUCACAAAAUAAAAGCAAAAAUCUUUAAAAGAACAGAAGGAAGAGAAUGGAGAGAGGAGAAAGGCAGUAAUAAAGGGAAGAAGUGUGUAAUUAAAUAGAAUGUGAGAAUGCAGGCAGAGAUCUGAAUGAUUAUUGACAGACUCAAUAAAUAACAACUGUCUGAAAUUUUCAAAUGUGUUUCUUACCAUGAACAUAC